AUUGAACGCUGGCGGCAUGCCUUACACAUGCAAGUCGAACGGCAGCACGGGAGCAAUCCUGGUGGCGAGUGGCGAACGGGUGAGUAAUGUAUCGGAACGUGCCCAGUCGUGGGGGAUAACGCAGCGAAAGCUGUGCUAAUACCGCAUACGAUCUAUGGAUGAAAGCGGGGGAUCGCAAGACCUCGCGCGAUUGGAGCGGCCGAUAUCAGAUUAGCUAGUUGGUGGGGUAAAAGCUUACCAAGGCGACGAUCUGUAGCUGGUCUGAGAGGACGACCAGCCACACUGGAACGGAGACACGGUCCAGACUCCUACGGGAGGCAGCAGUGGGGAAUUUUGGACAAUGGGCGCAAGCCUGAUCCAGCAAUGCCGCGUGCAGGAUGAAGGCCUUCGGGUUGUAAACUGCUUUUGUACGGAGCGAAAAGGCUCUCUCUAAUACAGGGGGCUCAUGACGGUACCGUAAGAAUAAGCACCGGCUAACUACGUGCCAGCCGCCGCAGUAAGAC
rnacentral:rRNA from 1 species